UGAGCAAACCUAGCCCUUACAACAUCGGAAUAACCCCGGGAAACCGGGGCUAAUACCGAAUACGACCACCGACGAUAUCGUCUGGUGGUGGAAAGCUCCGGCGGUGAGGGAUGGGCUCGCGGCCUAUCAGCUAGUCGGUGGGGUGACGGCCCACCAAGGCGACGACGGGUAGCCGGCUGAGAGGGUGAUCGGCCACACUGGGACAGAGACACGGCCCAGACUCCUACGGGAGGCAG
rnacentral:rRNA from 1 species